UAAAUACUUCCUUCGUCCUAAAAUUCUUGUCUUACCUCUAUCUAGAAGUGAAUGUAUCUACAUACUAAAACUUGACUAGAUGCAUUUGUAUCUAUACAAAUCUAAAACAAGAAUUUUGAGACAGAUGAAAUAUAAG
rfam:Hordeum vulgare subsp. vulgare, WGS project CAJW01000000 data, contig: morex_contig_50817